AUGAAAGAAAGAGGGCCUUCCAUCUCCUCCUUGUUCCUCGGCAAGACGCAGCCAAACCAGGUGAGGCCAUUUGCUGCGGCGCUUCGACGUGAAGGCCUGGUUGGCGUUGCGGUUUUCUUCCGCGGGCUCCUGAAAAUUGAAAACAAAACAAAACAAAACAAAAAACUGAAAAGCCGGCUCCGCUCAGGCAAAGGAGAUCCGGGUUCUCUCCCACCCCCUUGCUUGCCUUGGCCACGUCGCGGCACCUCAAUCGCCAGUGAAGCGUCGCAGACCUUAUACCGACGCCUCCAGUUUUCCAGAGGAGAAAGCGAGGGAGGGAAGCCAACUGUGGGGGGCCCUUUAGGGCCAAAGAAGAGUCUCGCUCGGGGCCACGCGGCGCUAGCAAGGCAGCAGCAGAAGAAGCGGUUGCUGGGCUGUGGGCUGAGAAUCCGCUCGGCCACCCUUGGCCCUCCCCACAAACAGCAAGUGGAUGGGAAAGAACCUUGACAACACAAAACUCAUUUACUAAUGGACUGGUUUUGGAUUUCUCUCUUUCGGGUCCGCAUAUCGCCCCGCCUGAGCCCUCGGCCUAUCCAGAGCUCGCGGGGAGCAGCGUCCCCCAGGAGGCAGGUGGGAGGCUGCUCCGGCGCCGCGCCGCCCUCGGAGCCCGGCAUCCGGAGGGGUCGAGGGCACCUGGAGUUUCCGACCAAGUAAAGGAAAAAGAUGAACGUUGACACUUCAGCCAGGAUUUGGGAUCCUCACUGCCCCAGAGCGACGACGCUAAUUUAUUGAUGAAACACCUUCCAAAGCCCUUCCCUCCCAAAUAUCUGUAGGUAGAGUAGAAUCCUCGCUGUCGUUCUUGAUGGCAAAAGAAUUCCAAGAAAGCGGGCCAGGAGCCUCCAAGCAGCUCGCUCCAAGCCAGAAGGGAAAUAAGUGGGUCUCAGCCAGAGGACACAAGGCCUUGUUUUAACCCGACCUAGAAACCCUAACACCAACUGAUGCCUCCGCAUCAACCUUUCCACAGACCAGUUGUGUGCAUCCGGCGGUUACCUGCACGGCGGAGGCACAAAAGAGCAGAAACCUGGCGCUGGGAGCCCCUUUCUAGCUGUGUUACCCUGGGGACCCACGAAGCGGCGAGGGCAGCAGCGGUGCUGCUCCUUGCCUUUAAAUCUCCGACGAAUCUCUGUUUUCUUGUGAUUUGCAUUGACAGCAAAAGGUUUUAAGUUACUAGAACAACUCAAACCUUUCUGUGUGCGAUUUAAAAUGGAUCAUUUGGUUUAUGUGGUUUGUAAAUUCAUGUCAUUUUACCUCUUUUAGUGGUUUGCAGUGAAAGGUUCCAUUUUGGGAAACCUUAUAUAUCCGAGCCAAUAAUUAACAUUUAUAAAAAUUGGUUUCCCUAACCGAGGGAUCGAAAUAGCAGGUAGGCUCGUUGGUACAAAGCGAAUAGCACAUUUCCUUUCUAAUCGUGCGAUCUACUGGACUGAACACUAGGAGAGAAGGCUGGCGGGCCAGGGCACGGCCUCAAGGACGAGCACCACUUCUUAUCAACCCGGUGCCCGCAGUCGCCGCAUCCGCACAGUCGUCUUCCCAGUUGUCGCCACCGUCUAGUGCGUCUUGAUUCCUUUUGAAGAGAGAUGAAAAGAAGUGGGCAGGGAGGUCUGGAGGAAGCCGGGGGUGGGGGGUUGGGGGCGGGGAAGGUAGUGGAUGUCUAAUUGUCGUCUCUCUGCUCCCUGUAAAUCUAUACCUGCUCUUAUUUGUCCAAGCUGUGCCUCAUUUCCUUAUACAAAAUUGUUAAUUACAAAGUACAUCCCAUAUUCAACUUACCCUUUGUCUUUUAAGAGACGUGGUUAUAUUUACAGACUCCCCCUGUUCCCCUCCCCAACACAGACACACACACACACACACACACACAUUGUAAUUCUGCGCACUUGCUCCAGACUUUAGGGUAUUAACUGAUUUUUUAGAGCCGAGUUUAAACCUCCGUUCCAGUCCGCACACAGCUGCCAUGUCAAUAAUGACUGUUCCAAGCAGAGACAUUCCUUCUGGCAGGACACUGCAGCUCUUCAAGACUUCAUCUGAAACAUCAUGAGCACUAAAAUAAGACCAUGAGGGAAAAUUACCAGACACAUGGGCUUGGGCUCUGCUUUGCCAGGUUUCCAGUUUAGAAAGUAAGUCAUUCGGCACACCAUGUGGUAGGGGUUCUCUUGAAAUAAUAUGCACCUAUUAAAUGCAUUUAAAGAUAAUCCCAAACAUAAUGAAAUAUCAGCAUUUGCUUCCAAGUUCUAAUUGCCUGGGAUACUGAAGGGAAAGGUUUCAAAGAUGCAAAAAGCUUUGUUUGGGAGUUCAGUGGAGAAGCAGCUUCGUGUCUACUCAGUCUCCCAAGAGACAGAUGGGGGUGGGUGGGGUGUGGAAACCCUUCACAACUUUAAGAUGUACAUUGCAGGGUGCAUUGGAAUGGGUGCAUGGUUCUAAAACCAUCUAAAUAAUACAAGGGGAAACCCACACAGUGCUUCUCUUUUAGUGGUUUGCAGUGAAAGGUUCCAUUUUGGGAAACCUUAUAUAUCCGAGCCAAUAAUUAACAUUUAUAAAAAUUGGUUUCCCUAACCGAGGGAUCGAAAUAGCAGGUAGGCUCGUUGGUACAAAGCGAAUAGCACAUUUCCUUUCUAAUCGUGCGAUCUACUGGACUGAACACUAGGAGAGAAAGGCUGGCGGGCCAGGGCACGGCCUCCAAGGACGAGCACCACUUCUUAUCAACCCCGGUGCCCGCAGUCGCCGCAUCCGCACAGUCGUCUUCCCAGUUGUCGCCACCGUCUAGUGCGUCUUGAUUCCUUUUGAAGAGAGAUGAAAAGAAGUGGGCAGGGAGGUCUGGAGGAAGCCGGGGUGGGGGUUGGGGCGGGAAGGUAGUGGAUGUCUAAUUGUCGUCUCUCUGCUCCCUGUAAAUCUAUACCUGCUCUUAUUUGUCCAAGCUGUGCCUCAUUUCCUUAUACAAAAUUGUUAAUUACAAAGUACAUCCCAUAUUCAACUUACCCUUUGUCUUUUAAGAGACGUGGUUAUAUUUACAGACUCCCCCUGUUCCCCUCCCCAACACAGACACACACACACACACACACACACACACACACACACACAUUGUAAUUCUGCGCACUUGCUCCAGACUUUAGGGUAUUAACUGAUUUUUUAGAGCCGAGUUUAAACCUCCGUUCCAGUCCGCACACAGCUGCCAUGUCAAUAAUGACUGUUCCAAGCAGAGACAUUCCUUCUGGCAGGACACUGCAGCUCUUCAAGACUUCAUCUGAAACAUCAUGAGCACUAAAAUAAGACCAU
rnacentral:lncRNA from 1 species